UGCAGCGGUCGGAGACCCCAUG
rnacentral:siRNA from 1 species